rnacentral:misc_RNA from 1 species
GAUGAAGAACGUAGCGAAAUGCGAUACUUGGUAUGAAUUGCAGAAUCCCGUGAACCAUCGAGUCUUUGAACGCAAGUUGCGCCCGAAGCCACUAGGCCGAGGGCACGCCUGCCUGGGCGUCACACGCCGUUGCCCCCCCAUCUACUCCUUCGGGAUUGCGGGGGGGCGGAUGAUGGCCUCCCGUGCGCCUAGCCGCGCGGUUGGCAUAAAUACCAAGUCCUCGGCGACGCACGCCACGACAAUCGGUGGUUGCGAAACCUCGGUUGCCCGUCGUGUGCGUUCGUCGCGCAUCGAGGGCUCGAAAAAAUGCUCGGCUCCGGCUGGGCUUUCAACGCGACCCCAGGUCAGGCGGGGUUACCCGCUGAAUUUAAGCAUAUCAAUAAGCGGAGGA